rnacentral:lncRNA from 1 species
UUCUUUUCAAUGACCAAAAAUUUGGUUUCACAAUGCCCUGCUUCAUUUUAGGUUUUCCAAAUUUCUCCUCUGCUUCUCUCAUUUCUUCAGUCUUUUCAUGUUCACUGUCUUCUUCAUUGACUCUUUCAAAUUCAAGCUUCUUAAUUGUAUUUUGUGGUAAGUUUUUCUCGCUUUUUUCUUCCUUAGUUUUUUUUUUUUGCUUCAAUAUUUUUCUUGUGCAAUUACUGAUAUUUUUAGAGAAUAUAAAGACAUGAAGUUUACAGAUGUGACCAUUUUUAUUUUCACUGAUCCAUUUGUGGAAAGGAAAAUUGGAUGAAAAUGACUAUAAACAAAAUAAUAUUUAACAACCAUCCAAACAAGUUGUUGAUGAAGAUGGAGAUACUGUUGCUCAAAUUUCGACAUACAUUCAUCAUCUGAAUCAAAUUUUGAUAUUUAUUCUUUUAGGUUAUUGUUCUCUAUUGUAUUUUCUCUAUAAAUAAUAUAUGAAUGUCAAUAGUAUUUUCUGAUUUAUUCAUGCAUCUUCACGAAUAAAUACUCAAGUUUCCUUAGUGCACCAAGGGUGUUUGAUAAUAUGCCUACAUCGAGAUGGAUCUUUGAUUCAGCACUAAAGGUUGGUCAAGCUGUGAACUAAUAAUUAUUUUUCCGUUCCUCGCUUCUUAGUGAACUUUUUUGUACUGUUGAAGGGAGAGAGGUAGAAAAGAGAUAUGCGAUACAGAAAUAUCAAGACAAAUAAAUAAAUGUCUUUUUUUCCUUUUCUUAAGUGAAGGAGAAAAGGAAAAAACAUAUGAUUGUUAUUUGUGGAAUUUGAACCUUUCAAUUCCAGGUAGAGUUUAAGUUAUUCAUAAAAUGAAUUCACCCUCAACUCCCUCUAAUUCUAUAUAGAAGCAACAUUACGUGCCUCAUUAUGAAAAAUCAUUUUUUUCCCAUUUUAUCACAGCUAAACUGGAAGGACCAAAGUUAUUUUCUUGCUUCCUGGAAUAAGAAUACAAGAGGGUACUUGAAUGUUUCUCAUAAUAUCAAAUAAUUUAGAAUAAUUGAAGGAUAUUCUCUAGAUUUGGUAACAACAUUUGAUGUUGGACCUAAUUAAUGUGCGGAAUGAUAGUUAAGUUAUCCGUAUGCGGUCAUCAUCAGUUGUAUUGGGUUAUGAAUGCUAACGAUAUGAAAUAAUGCAUUUAUUGCAAAUGAUGUACCUUUACAUUUGAGUUUUAUACAUGAUCAAUGUAAAUAUUUUUUGCACUAUCAGGUUAGCAGAUUUACAUUAACCUUCUUGAUAAAAUGUGCUACCCACAUGUAAAAAUUAUUUACGUUACGUUGACAAUGUAUAUUAUUUAUUAAACUCAUAUGUUUUAUUGUGCUUUCUAUUCUGGCUUUGAAAUUUGGGGCUGAGAAAAAGGUUGGGAUGUUCAUUGUUCAACUAAUUUGAGAUAUUAGACGAUGCUAUUGAUGUAAUGAAAUUGGAAGAUGGUGUAAUUCAAAACAUGGUAAAGUCUCUGAUUUGUAUUCACAAGUUGCAAUUCUUGAUGUUUUUCAUUGUAUUGAGUUAUUUUUCAUAAUAUUGACAAUUUUGACAAAUCUACAAUGAUUUUAACUCCACUAUAUACAUACUUGGUCGCCCAUGGAAGUAGUUUGAAAAGAUAAUUCAGCAAUUAUUUGGAAACCUUUCCUCAUGUUGGGAACCAAAAUGAGGUACAAGAAGCAAUGUAAAGUGUACUUCAAAUAGAACUUGAGUUGUACGAGUAGGGUUAAAAUAGUAAAUUCACUUUAUUCACUCUCUCACCUCUGCUUCUACUCUUUCUUCACUGCCUGACAACAUUGACAACCAUUUUAAACCUUCAACGGAGUUAAACUUUACUUCAGAGUCUCACUCCAACUUCUAAAGUUCUUUCAAUUGUUUACCUGGUAAGUAUUCUUGUGUGGUAUUGGCCCUCUUCCCUUAUGAAUUUUUACUCUUUUUUUUUUCAUUAUUGUGUUUAUGCUUCCUAUUAUUCUACUGAUUUUUCUUAUUUAUAGGUCUUCCACAAUUUUUCUUGAAUUCUUUUGAGUUCUUAUAGAUGCCUCUUGAAAUACAUGCAUAAUUUUGUUUUCAAUAUUUUGCAGUUUCUAACUCUAAAAUACUAAAAAUAUUAGUAGUAUUUUCUUAUCAAUAUAUGAUACUUUUUGCAGAUAAUUAAUGGCUUGAUGCGGUUGCAUGUUUGACGAAAUUUCCCGUGAAGGUAAGACUUGUGUGUUAUGAAGAGAGAUUAGUUACAAGAGUUGAUUGUUUUGGCAGAUGAUUCAAGGUGCUAAUGAAGUUGAACGGUGGGCUUAGGUGAAUAGACAUUUUCCCUUAUAAUAUCUUUUUUCCAUAUGGCAUCUUCCCCAAAAAAAAUUGAGAAAGAAUUUGAGUUGCCGAAUUCUUUGAUGCUGCCAUGAAAUUAGAAGUGAUAAUGUAAUGCUGAAAAUUCAGGGUAAGCUUUCAGUAUUGAUCUUUUUGUUGUUUGAACUACAUUUUUGAAAAAAAUCAGCUACUAAUAUAGUAAGUUGAGGUGGUAUUCAAAGACAAAUUGUUUAAAUACAAAGUCAGAAUAACAAGCAGGUUGAAUCAGGCGAAAAGGUUGAUUUCUGGCUCUCCAAUUUCCAAGUCCUUUAAGGAACCAUUCCACAUUUUCUUAAGAACCUUUAAACUUUUGGCAAUGGACCGUGAUGUUGGUGUCGCAUUUAUUUUUAGCAGUUGUUCUUGGAUAAAAGCUGGAACUUUAAUAUUGAAAAUUCUGUUACUAGAUUGAGUUCUAGAAGUCUGUCAUAUGAUCUUAUGCUUUCUCAAAGUUUUUGUUUCAUGUGUUCAUAUUAGUUAGAUACAAUUGAUAAUGUUAAAAAUAUUUUUCAUCUGAUCAAUCCAGAAAAAAAUGAACAUAAGAAAUGUAGCAAAUAAGUAAUAAUGUUGACGCUAGAAUUUUUUUGAGAAAUGAGUGAGUAAUAAAAUGUCCGGGUAAUGGAAGAAUCCUAUAAGACUAUUAAUUUAACGCAGAAACAAACUCUUUUCUUUAAUCUUGAGUUUGUUGAUCAAGAAUAGCUACUAACUCCUAAACUUUUUUAUAUCAUACGUGAAAUAGGAGUAGUAAUUUGAGUAUGCAAUAUAAUAAUAUUGUGUUAAGAGUGCUGUCAUAUGCUUUUUAUAGAGAAAUAUCAACUUCAUGUUUUCUCUUUUAUUUGUAGCAUAAUAUUCUUUCAUCAGAAUUUUGUGUCAUGGUCAUUAAUGGGUUCCUUCUUUUGCUUAUUGCAUUUGAAGGUUUGGCAAUGAAAUAGAUGAAAAAAAUGGAGGUUUUGCUUGAUCCAAGUAUGAGCUCUAAAAUGUAUGUGUUUAUCUUUCGCAAACAUUUUUAGCUAAUUUAUUCUCACAUUCAUUUGUUUUUGAAUAUUUUUACUCUUUCCAUGUCCCUCAAUAGAAGUAAAACAAACAUUUAUUUUGUAUUUCACGAGAGACAAUUUUGUAUAUGAGAUGUAGGUGAGACGAAGAGAAGCUGACAUUUUUAGUAUGUGCUCUUUCUAUGUCCCCAAAUUAAGAAGCAUAAGGAUAGGUAGAGCAUGAGCUCUUGCAGACUAAGUUGUUGUAUUAUAUGUUAAAUGUAAUAAAAGGAUUUUCUUAGUGGUUUAUACAACAUCAAUGUAAUAUUAUGUUAUUCAAACUUAAGGUCUGAUUUGAUUGUGAACUUUGGGCGGCCCAAAGUAAGAAAUGAACUUUUUGUUUUAGAACUACCAACUUCCAUAUUUGAAUGUGUAGCAGCCAUUAAAAAGAUAUCGAUUGAGUGCUUAUAACUUUAAGGUGGAAUAGAACUACAAAAAGUUAGGGUUGAUGUUCAUAAAAUAAACAAAUGGUGAAGCUUGCCAAUUGUAAAUCAAAUAUGUACAAAUAGUUGAACUGGUCGGUACUGACAGGUACAACCUUUGGUAUUUUUAUACAUAUGUUUGGAAAACACUUGCCUAAAUUUCCAUUUUGCAAAAAUAGGAGGAUUGACAGUAAUCUCAAUUUCAAUUGGUGGAUAGUUAUGAGAGUAAAAAUUAUUAAAUGAGUUUAGAUGAUUAAUAUACAAAGUGAAAACGUGAGAGAUCUACUAUUGAGUUCUUGUCAUAUCAGAGUCAACAACUUUGUUCGAACUGAUCGUUACACGCUUGUGAACAAUUUUGUAAAAAUAACCUAAAAAAUAAAGAGUUACAAGUGACUAUACAAACUCUUACAUGGAACUCUGGUGAACAACUCAUGCCUUUGAUUUGCUUCACUAUAUUAUGUUCGAAUACCACUUGAUUGUAUGAAGAGCUCCUACUUUGUUUUACUCAAUUUAUUCUAGGAUGUGAAAGUGAGUUUGCCUUAUAUGGGUCAAUUUAUGCAUACUGAACGUCAACAUCAGUUGUGGUAUUAGGUGUAUUAAACUUUAUUGCUGAAAUAUUGUAAAGAUGUACAAUUUCUCAAAUGGGUGGAUUUGUUGAUCUCCACAACCAACUAUACAAGAAUAUUGGAAACAAAUGGAAUUGGGUAUUUCAAAACAGGGAAGUCAUAUUUGUCGCGUUGGAAAAUUCGUCGUUUUUGCUUAUUUGUUUCUGGUGUGAAGGCUGAAAACUUUAUCUAAACUAUCAUGUGUGUGUGAGA